rnacentral:rRNA from 1 species
GAUGAACGCUGGCGGCGUGCCUAAUACAUGCAAGUCGAACGAGGUGCUUUUGUAGCAAUACGAGAGUAUCCUAGUGGCGAACGGGUGAGUAACGCGUGGAUGACCUGCCCCAAAGUGUGGGAUAACAGUCCGAAAGGAUUGCUAAUACCUCAUGUGGUUAUCGGUUUUAGAAAGCGAUAACUAAAGCAGCAAUGCGCUUUGGGAGGGAUCUGCGUCCCAUCAGCUAGUUGGUGAGGUAACGGCUCACCAAGGCGACGACGGGUAGGGGACCUGAGAGGGUGGCCCCCCACAAUGGAACUGAAACACGGUCCAUACACCUACGGGUGGCAGCAGUAGGGAAUAUUGCUCAAUGGGCGAAAGCCUGAAGCAGCAACGCCGCGUGUGCGAUGAAGGCCUUC